rnacentral:rRNA from 2 species
GGACUACUCGGGUAUCUAAUCCUGUUUGAUCCCCACGCUUUCGUGCCUCAGCGUCAAUCAUCGUGUAGUGAGCUGCCUUCGCAAUGGGUGUUCUAUGUCAUAUCUAAGCAUUUCACCGCUACAUGACAUAUUCCGCUCACCUCCACGACAUUCAAGAUAGAUAGUAUCAACGGCAGUUUCCGGGUUAAGCCCGGAGAUUUCACCACUGACUUACCUACCCGCCUACGCACCCUUUAAACCCAGUGAAUCCGGAUAACGCUUGCACCCUCCGUAUUACCGCGGCUGCUGGCAC